rnacentral:misc_RNA from 1 species
UCUAUGAAUAUUUUCAGUAAUGUUGCGUUAGUGGAAAGAUAUUUCGAAUAAAAUUCAAUAAUUUCCCUGCAUUUCGUUCAUAAUAGUGUUCAGAAGAGCGUAUACCACUUUGGUGAAUAACGUUAACGUAAAGGCAAGAAAUUUCUACGAACAAAACCACCGUACUUACUGCCUUUCUUGAGAUAAGAAAACGAAGAGAUAAAGACAUCUAUAUGAAGAGGUCUACAUAUAAAAUAGGUGUAGGACUCCAACUUAACUGCGAAAACUUCUAUCUUCUUGAAAAGCAAAAAUUUCAACCUGAAACCAAGAAUAUAAAAUAAAAUUAAUUAAAUAAAAUUUCAAGCCUAAAACCUUAAACUUCACCAUUAUCACUUUAAAAACGUAAAAUUAGUUAAAAAAACUAUGAAUUACAGUUCAUUCCAAUCAUUUACGCAUACGUUCGAUCAAAUAAUGAAAUGAGCCCUAAAGUAUAUUGU